GUACAAUAGGGACCGUAGAAACCGUAAAACCGUAGAAACAGAGAAGAGUAGCAUGGCCACUGCACAAGGAGGACACAAAUUUGUAAAGCAUUCCAUUUUUUA